UUGAUUCGACCCACCAUAACACCCAGCCGCGUGCGCGCCGCCGCCGGAAGCCGGAGUUGGCGGGGCGGCGGCUCCGGCGGCCAACACCACCGCUCCUCCUCCUCCUCCUCCUCCUCUCCGGCGUGGCACAUCGCUGCAUCAGCCUCGCGAGAGUGCCCGGCGGUGCAGCGGGCUCGGGCUUCGCUCGCUCUCCCUCUCGAUCAGCCCCCGCCCCAACCCUAUGCGUCGCUCCCUCUACGCCUCUACCAAUCAGGCUCAUAUCAUUUGGGUUGAAAGGUGUGGGUCACCUCCACCACCCAACAUGGACUUCUCUUCAGCUACAGUUCUGGGUUUCUGCUUCUUCCUGAUUUGAUUGCAAGUAGGUCACAAGCUCUGAAACUCGUGACUGCCUCCAUCAUGCCGAACAUGAGAUGAUCGACUGAAUAUGUACAUGCAAUCAGAUUCUUUUUUCCCUCUCGAAGUCUGCAUGUUCCCAUCAAAAAUGUUUCUCUGAAGGUUCUAGAAGUUUCAGAUUCAAACAAAACAUAAUUGCAAGAGAAGUACCAUGCCGUCAUUGGAAAAAUUUUCCACUGGAGGCAAACUGGCAACCGGAAAGCACAGUCACUACAGGGUUAUAGCAUGCCAAAGAAAGCAUUUCUUUUGAUAAAUGCAACGGAACCUCGAUAUUUAAAAAUGUGUAAUGUAUAUUUCUCCCGGCAAAAAAAAUGUUCAUUUCUCAGUUUUUCAAGUAUGCAACAGCAUGAUGCGUUCAACGCUGAUAAAACAAAUUGCUUGAGGCUUGCAAGUUGCAAAUGUACAGAAAUUACAAUGAUAUAGUUUCUGCAAAUGGAGUAGCAGAAGAGGUAUUGAAUUUGGGUUUUAA